rnacentral:rRNA from 1 species
GUCUGCGGCCACACCACCCUGAACUCGCCCGGUCUCGUCUGAUCUCAGCAGCUAGGCAGGGUCGGGCCUGGUUACUACUCAGAUGGGAGAAUGGUUUGCAGUUGGAAAUA